rnacentral:rRNA from 1 species
AUACGGAGGAUCCGAGCGUUAUCCGGAUUUAUUGGGUUUAAAGGGUGCGCAGGCGGCCAUUUAAGUCAGCGGUUAAAUCGUGGGGCUCAACCCCAUUCUGCCGUUGAUACUGGGUGGCUUGAUUGCGGUCGAGGUUGGCGGAAUUCGUUGUGUAGCGGUGCAAUGCAUAGAUAUGACGAAGAACACCGAUUGCGUAGGCAGCUGACCAGACCGCAAAUGACGCUCAUGCACGAAAGUGCGGGGAUCGAACAGGAUUAGAUACCCUGGUAGUCCGCACAGUAAACGAUGAAUACUUGUUUUCGGCGAUAUAAUGUCGGAGGCAAAGCGAAAGCGAUAAGUAUUCCACCUGGGGAGUACGCCGGCAACGGUGAAACUUAAAGGAAUUGACGGGG